rnacentral:rRNA from 1 species
GAUGAACGCUGGCGGCGUGCCUAAUACAUGCAAGUCGAGCGAACAGACGAGGCGCUUGCUCCUCUGACGUUAGCGGCGGACGGGUGAGUCACACGUGGCUAACCUACCUCUAAGACUGGGAUAACUUCGGGAAACCGGCGAUAAUGCCGGAUAAUGUAUUGAACCGCAUGGUUCAAUAGUGAAAGACGGUUUUGCUGUCACUUAUAGAUGGAUCCGCGCCGCGUUAGCUAGUUGGUAAGGUAACGGCUUACCAAGGCAACGAUGUGUAGCCGACCUGGGAGGGUGAGCUGGCACGCUGCAACGGGGACGCGGUCCAGCCCCCAAUGGGACGCAGCGGUACGGAAUCGUCCGCAAUGGGCGAAAGCCUAGCGGGGCAACGCCGCGUGAGGUAUGAAAGUCUUCGGAUCGUGAUACACUGUUAUUAGGGAAGAACAAAUGUGUAAGUUACUAUGCACGUCUUGACGGUACCUAAACAGAAAGCCACGGCUAACUACGUG